GUUCUUGUCAACCAAAACAAGAAUUCAAGUUCAUUCUUCUCUUACGACAUGAAUAGCGUGCAAUGCACGAGUUUAUACUUUAAACUGCGUAUGAGGCGUCUGUUGAUUCGACUCGUGUUGCCGCUCUGAAUUGGUUUCCUGAGCGAGACAGCCCAUUUCCUUUGGGACGAAGGGCAUUAAAUUGGAGGCUGUACUCAGGCUGCACUUGUAGGCCUGAAUUCAGAUGGAUGUGUGGCGUCUUGCGUGGAAAUAACCUGCCAUCACCUAAGCAAGAAGUUUCAUCAGCACAUGGCGGGAGUCCUCGUCCCCCCCUAUAGUGUGAUGGAGGCUGGUGCCGACAGAACGCCGGACAACGAGAACAUAAGUAACAACUCGUUUGCUUCUCCAACCGAAAAUCCCAAAAAGGUGCCUUCUGGAAAGAUCCUGCGCGCGGGGAAGGUUCUCCGUAACGCCAUCCUCUCCAGAGCGCCUCAUAUGAUCCGAGACAGAAAGUACCAUCUGAAAACAUACAGGCAGUGUUGUGUGGGAACGGAGAUGGUCGACUGGCAGAUGCAGCACAGCUCCUGUGUGCGCUCUCGCCUUCAAGCUGUGGCCAUGUGGCAGGUGCUUAUGGAGGAAGGCGUUCUUUGCCACGUGGACCGGGAGCCAAGCUUCCAGGACAAAUACCUUUUCUACCGCUUCCUGGACGAUGAAGAAGAGGAGACGUCUUUACCCGACGAGGAGGAGAGGAGGCAGAGCCAAGACGAGCUGCAGGAUACUUUGGUACUCCUUUCGCAGAUGGGGCCUGACGCCUACAUGAGGAUGAUUCUGAGGAAGCGGCCAUCUGAGAGAACAGAAGACGAUUUAGAGAUCAUUUGCGAGGAACUGCUCCACAUCAAGGCCUUAGCGCACCUUUCCACCACUGUCAAGAGAGAACUGAUGGGCGUGCUCAUAUUUGAGUCCCAUGCCAAAGCAGGAACAGUGUUGUUCAGCCAAGGCGAAGAGGGUACCUCAUGGUACAUCAUCCUAAAGGGCUCGGUCAACGUGGUCAUCUAUGGAAAAGGUGUUGUUUGUACACUUCAUGAGGGAGAUGACUUUGGGAAGCUUGCUCUUGUCAACGAUGCCCCCCGCGCUGCUUCCAUUGUCUUGAGAGAGGACAACUGUCACUUCCUGAGAGUGGACAAGGAGGACUUCAACAGGAUUUUGAGGGACGUAGAGGCCAACACAGUGCGCCUGAAAGAGCACGGUCAAGACGUCCUGGUGUUAGAGAAGAGUCUCAGUAGCUGUCGAUCCGACAACCAUGGAGCCUCAACCUCCCAUUACAAGUACAAGGUCAUGUCAGGGACACCAGAGAAAAUUUUGGAGCACCUGCUUGAGAUGAUGCGAAUGGAUUCUCAGUUUUCAGCAUCAGAUGCUGCCUUAGAUGAUUUUGUGCUCAUGCACUGCGUCUUCAUGCCAAACAUUCAACUUUGUCCAGUGUUGAUGGCUCACUACCAUGCCCAGGCCUCACCGGGCUCCGAACAGGAGAAGCUGGACUACGCGCUCAACAACAAGCGUCGUGUGAUCCGCCUGGUCGUGCGGUGGGCCACCUUGCAUGGUGAUCAGUUGCAAGAGGAAGACACCUCAGUGGUCUUCCUGGAGGAUUUUCUUUCGGCUGUAUCUAAUGACGCUGAAUCACUUCCACCACUCAGUGAGCAACUACCAGAACUGGAAAAAAUUGUCAAGCACAACACUGAUGAUGCCAGAAGCUCACACAGAAAGCACAUCGUCCUACUCGAGCAGUUCAAUAGGGGAGAUGACGAGAUGCAAAAGUGUCAACCUAUUAAGAGCAACGAUGAAAUUCUGUUCAAAGUCUUUUGCUGUGACCACACUUACAUCACCAUCCGAGCGCUUGUUUCCGCCUCGGUCGGAGAGGUCCUGCAUGCCGUGGCCGACAAGAUGGGCUCAGUGGAGGACCUCCUGUUGGUCCGUCUCAGCUCGGCUGGAGAUAAAGUCGUGUUCGAACACACUGAUGUGUCCGUGUUCUCCACUCUUACCAUCAAUGGGCGUCUCUUUGCCUGCUUCAAGGAUCAGCUGGAUUCUUUGACCCCCCUGCCGGAGCAGGAGGGUCCAUCUGCAGGCUCUUUGUCGAGUUUUGAGUGGAUGAGCACCAAGGAUGUUGCUUACCAUUUGACGCGAUAUGACUGGGAGCUUUUCAACUGUGUUCAUGAGCUUGAACUGAUCUACCACAUCUUUGGGAGGCAAAACGUGAAGAAAAGCACAGUGAACCUGGACCUGUUCCUAAAGAGGUUCAAUGAAAUUCAGUUUUGGGUGAUCACGGAGGUCUGCCUGUGCCCGCAGCUCAGCAAGAGGGUGCAGCUGCUCAAAAAGUUCAUCAAGAUUGCAUCCCACUGCAAGGAACACAGGAACUUGAAUGCCUUCUUUGCUAUUGUCAUGGGGCUGAGCAACCCAGCGGUCAGCAGGCUGAAUCAGACCUGGGAGAAACUUCCUAGCAAAUUCAAGAAGUUCUAUGGAGAAUUUGAAAACUUGAUGGACCCAUCCAGGAACCAUCGAGUGUACCGACUGAUGGUUGCCAAACUUGAACCUCCCAUCAUCCCUUUCAUGCCGCUGUUGAUCAAAGAUAUGACAUUCACUCACGAGGGCAACAAGACAUUUAUUGAAAAUUUGGUCAAUUUUGAGAAAAUGCGGAUGAUCGCAAAUACAGUGAAGAUUGUGAGGUAUUGUAGGAGUCAGCCAUUCAGUCCCGAGUCACCGCUGGUGAACAAGUGCCACCCCGACGUGCGGCGCUAUGUGCGUCACUUCAGCGUGAUCGACAACCAAAGAACGCUGACCCGGCUCUCUCAUGGACUCGAACCUCGCAGAUCUUGAUACCCAUCAGGGAAGGCUGCGUUACACGGCAGCUUCACCGCUGCUCUCGCUUUAACUCCCAACACAGACAAUCACUUGGGGGGGGACGUAAUCAGAGAUAAUGAGAUGCUGUUUACAAAUAUUGAUGUUUGCACUGCUGUAUAUUUGCACCACAGCACGCAUUCUCAGCAAGUAAAAGUGUUGCUCAGAGAGAAGAAGAAUUCAGGAAAGCAGGUAAACAUUUCUCUGGUACCUGAUGUUAUUAUUAUUAUCUAAUAUUUCAGGUCUAAACAGCAGUAUGUGUUGCGUUAAAUGUCUCAAUAUUCGUGAUAUCAUUUUAUCUAUUUGUAUCAAAUAUUUAUACAUAUUUGUGAGCUUGUUCUGUGCUGUAAAUUAUACAUAAAUAU